AAUCAACGCUGGCGGCGUGCCUCAGACAUGCAAGUCGAACGAUUAAAGCUCCCUUCGGGGAGUGCAUAAAGUGGCGCACGGGUGAGUAACACGUAAGUAAUCUACCCUCGAGUGGGGAAUAACGUCCGGAAACGAACGCUAAUACCGCAUAAUGCAGCGGCACCGCAAGGUGACAGUUGUUAAAGAUUUAUCGCUUGAGGAGGAGCUUGCGGCAGAUUAGCUAGUUGGUAAGGUAAUGGCUUACCAAGGCCGCGAUCUGUAACCGGUCUAAGAGGACGGUCGGUCACACUGACACUGAAUAACGGGUCAGACUCCUACGGGAGACAGCAGUCGGGAAUUUUGGGCAAUGGGCGAAAGCCUGACCCAGCAACGCCGCGUGAAGGAUGAAGUAUUUCGGUAUGUAAACUUCGAAAGAAUGGGAAGAAUAAAUGACGGUACCAUUUAUAAGCUCCGGCUAACUACGUGCCAGCAGCCGCGGUAACAC
rnacentral:rRNA from 1 species